GACAGCACAAUGUUCCAUUGUUCCUUUCAACUCAGGGACGGAGCUGACAGGUCCCCAGAAACUGUGCCUCCCCCAUCCUUCCACACCCCUUGAGAGUGCGCCCGGGAAGAAAGAGGCCAGCUCCAAUAGGGGUGGGGGGUGCACCGAAGAAGUCCUGAAGGGUUGAGAACAUAUUGGAAGCCCCAUUCCCAUCCAUGAUGUAGAGACUGGAAUCACUUUUAAUGCUUUUAUCCUGGCACAAGAACCCCAGGAGACUCCUUCCGCAGUCCUAAAACGACCAGGACCUCGGAAGCCUGGACAUCACAGAGACUUCUGGCAGAGACAAAGAUGGCCUCCAGCUUGGUUGAGGUGGCAGCAAGGCAGUGAGAGUCCAUAGGGGUGCCCAAGGAGGGGUCUGGGGGAAAUCAAAAGCAGCCAUUUCUUCUGGGACUUGUCAGUUUUGCUUGGAGGGGUGGUUCCCUUUGGUCAUCCCCAAAUUUAGUGAAAAGGCAGAGACCAGUGCUAGCUGUGCCACGUAACUAAGGGAAGAGCUCUUCCGGGCUGGAGUUAGAAUGGUAAAAGAAGAGCAAUGCUGGUCCUCUGAAGGCCAGCCUGGAGGUACCAGCAGGGUCUGGCAGAAGAUCACCAGUCCCAGAUACAGGACACUGAGCCUGUCUCCUGGAGCUUGCAGGGAAGAAGAGGCAGGGCAAUGCAUGCAGACCGUGCCCUGGGGGACUCUCAGAAAGGACCACAUGACCCUCUGAGGGAGGCUCUGUUCCUGACAUCAGGCAAAACCAAGAUGUGGAGCCUAAUCAUUUACAGUAUUAGCUGAAAUAUGUUCUCACCAGCUGGUGAAGUCUGAGACAUUCUAUUUGUAGACAUGUACUCUACCUGCUCUCCUGACAUCAGGCAAAACCAAGAUAUGGAGCCUAGUCAUUUACAGUAUUAGCUGAAAUAUAUUCUCACAAGCUGGUGAAGUCUGAGACAUUCUAUUUGUAGACAUGUACUCUCUACCUGCUCUUUUGAAAUGGGCUUCCCCACCACCACCUCAACAAUAUAUUGUGUGAAACUGUCCA